rnacentral:rRNA from 1 species
CCUACGGGUGGCUGCAGUGGGGAAUAUUGGACAAUGGGGGGAACCCUGAUCCAGCCAUGCCGCGUGUGUGAAGAAGGCCCUCGGGGUGUAAAGCACUUUCAGUGAGGAAGAACGCCUGGUGGUUAAUACCCAUCAGGAAAGACAUCACUCACAGAAGAAGCACCGUCUAACUCCGUGCCAGCAGCCGCGGUAAUACGGAGGGUGCGAGCGUUAAUCGGAAUUACUGGGCGUAAAGCGCGCGUAGGUGGCUUGAUAAGCCGGUUGUGAAAGCCCCGGGCUCAACCUGGGAACGGCAUCCGGAACUGUCAAGCUAGAGUGCAGGAGAGGAAGGUAGAAUUCCCGGUGUAGCGGUGAAAUGCGUAGAGAUCGGGAGGAAUACCAGUGGCGAAGGCGGCCUUCUGGAAUGCAACUGACGCUGAGGUGCGAAAGCGUGGGUAGCGAACAGGAUUAGAUACCCGUGUAGUC